GUGAGGCGCUACAGACGCGCAACGCUGAGAGCUGCUCCUUGGGAGAAACCGUGGGAGUGACAGGUAGUCUGAAGUGAGGCAAAGGGACACCGUGGCUCUCGGGUGUAUCCCAGACUGUGACGGGCUGCCGGACCAGUUUCGAGAAGGAUCUGCUGUCAGCCUCCAGCCCUGCGAUCCCUAUGUGCUAACUGUUCACGGAAUGAUCCUGUGGUUUUGGAGGAAUCAGGCUCGAGGGAGGCAGAGAAAAGGAGCCAGGCGGAAUGGUUCCAAUAGAACUAUUUUUCAAGCCAGCGAUAUUUACAGAGACAAGACGAGGCUGCUCCGUGGAGCCUAGGACGAUUUCAGCUGUUAAGGUAAUGAAGACAAUUGAAGAACAAAGCG
rnacentral:lncRNA from 1 species